UGUCCCUUUUGCCAAUUUGCA
rnacentral:piRNA from 1 species